rnacentral:lncRNA from 1 species
AUGAAUGGGACAAAACCUGUAGCUGGUGACAAGGCAAAGAAAGGAAAAGGCCAGGGUAACAUAAGGAGAGGCCAGGGUAACAUAAGGAGAGGCCAGGGUAACAUAAGGAGAGGCCAGGGUAACAUAAUGAGAGGCCAGGGUAACAUAAGGAGAGGCCAAGGUAACAUAAGGAGAGGCCAGGGUAACAUAAGGAGAGGCCAGGGUAACAUAAGGAGAGGUAAGGGUAACAUAAGGAGAAGCCAGGUUAACAUAAGGAGAGGCCAGGUUAACAUAAGGAGAGGUCAGGGUCACUUAAGGAGAGGCCAGGGUAACAUAAGGAGAGGCCAGGGUAACAUAAGGAGAGGCCAGGGUAACAUAAGGAGAGGCCAGGGUAACAUAAGGAGAGGCCAGGGUAACAUAAGGAGAGGCCAGGGUAACAUAAGGAGAGGCCAGGGUAACAUAAGGAGAGGCCAGGGUAACAUAAGGAGAGGCCAGGGUAACAUAAGGAGAGGCCAGGUUAACAUAAGGAGAGGCCAGGGUAACAUAAGGAGAGGCCAGGGUAACAUAAGGAGAGGCCAGGGUAACAUAAGGAGAGGCCAGGUUAACAUAAGGAAAGAGAGGGAACAUGGCAUUGAAAGAGGGAGGUGUUUUACUGAAUUGCAUUAUCAUAACAAAUGUUUCACUGCAAAAAAAAAAAGAUUUAAUUUACAAAUAAUUUGCUCUCACGUUUAAACAUUAUUUCCUUGCAAUAUUUAGUUUUGUCGUCAAUACCUUGGGGUUUUAGUUUUGCCAUCAAUACCUUGGGGUUUUAGUUUUGCCAUCAAUACCUUGGAGUUUUAGUUUUGCCAUCAAUACCUUGGGGUUUUAGUUUUGUCAUCAAUACCUUGGAGUUUUAGUUUUGUCAUCAAUACCUUGGGGUUUUAGUUUUGUCAUCAAUACCUUGGGGUUUUAGUUUUGACAUCAAUACCUUGGGGUUUUAGUUUUGUCAUCAAUACCUUGGGGUUUUAGUUUUGACAUCAAUACCUUGGGGUUUUAGUUUUGCCAUCAAUACCUUGGGGUUUUAGUUUUGUCAUCAAUUCCUUGGGGUUUUAGUUUUGCCAUCAAUACCUUGGGGUUUUAGUUUUGACAUCAAUACCUUGGGGUUUUAGUUUUGACAUCAAUACCUUGGAGUUUUAGUUUUGACAUCAAUACCUUGGGGUUUUAGUUUUGACAUCAAUACCUUGGGGUUUUAGUUUUGUCAUCAAUACCUUGGGGUUUUAGUUUUGACAUCAAUACCUUGGGGUUUUAGUUUUGCCAUCAAUACCUUGGAGUUUUAGUUUUGACAUCAAUACCUUGGGGUUUUAGUUUUGUCAUCAAUACCUUGGAGUUUUAGUUUUGUCAUCAAUACCUUGGGGUUUUAGUUUUGUCAUCAAUACCUUGGGGUUUUAGUUUUGUCAUCAAUACCUUGGAGUUUUAGUUUUGUCAUCAAUACCUUGGAGUUUUAGUUUUGUCAUCAAUACCUUGGGGUUUUAGUUUUGUCAUCAAUACCUUGGAGUUUUAGUUUUGUCAUCAAUACCUUGGGGUUUUAGUUUUGUCAUCAAUUCCUUGGGGUUUUAGUUUUGCCAUCAAUACCUUGGGGUUUUAGUUUUGACAUCAAUACCUUGGGGUUUUAGUUUUGACAUCAAUACCUUGGAGUUUUAGUUUUGACAUCAAUACCUUGGGGUUUUAGUUUUGACAUCAAUACCUUGGGGUUUUAGUUUUGUCAUCAAUACCUUGGGGUUUUAGUUUUGACAUCAAUACCUUGGGGUUUUAGUUUUGUCAUCAAUACCUUGGGGUUUUAGUUUUGUCAUCAAUACCUUGGGGUUUUAGUUUUGUCAUCAAUACCUUGGGGUUUUAGUUUUGUCAUCAAUACCUUGGGGUUUUAGUUUUGUCAUCAAUACCUUGGGGUUUUAGUUUUGUCAUCAAUACCUUGGGGUUUUAGUUUUGACAUCAAUACCUUGGGGUUUUAGUUUUGUCAUCAAUACCUUGGGGUUUUAGUUUUGACAUCAAUACCUUGGAGUUUUAGUUUUGUCAUCAAUACCUUGGAGUUUUAGUUUUGACAUCAAUACCUUGGGGUUUUAGUUUUGUCAUCAAUACCUUGGGGUUUUAGUUUUGACAUCAAUACCUUGGGGUUUUAGUUUUGUCAUCAAUACCUUGGGGUUUUAGUUUUGUCAUCAAUACCUUGGGGUUUUAGUUUUGUCAUCAAUACCUUGGAGUUUAAGUUUUGUCAUCAAUACCUUGGGGUUUUAGUUUUGUUUUUAACAUCAUUCUUUUUGUUUGGAAUACUAAUAAUUCUGUUCUCAACUUCAGAAGUUUUGCUUCUAAAGUAACUCUAACUGAAGGACUGCACCACAUAAUAACACUAUAACUCUAUGAAAUGUGCUUAAAGCGGCCAUCUUUAAUUUAAUCACUAACAGUGUUCUCACCGCCACAGUAAAAAGUUGAGGGAUGGGUCUGGAGAAAUGCAACCACUCUCAAAUCCAUAGACUAUGCUAUGGAUGCAAAGACUGACCACCUAUGAUGCCAAAUAGUUGUAACCAUGUUUUGAGGCUACACAGUGUUUGUUUACAUUUACAAACAUUGGAGUUUUCUUACAUGUAAAACCGCAAAUUUGACAAGUGCUUUUUUGGCAAAGGAGUGUGUGCAUGUCUGUGUGUGUGUGUGAACAGACAAGUAAGAACAGGUCUUCCCCACUAGCCCUGAAGCCCAGCCUUUCUGCAUGUGAAAUGUGAUGGACCAAGUCACUACACAGAAAUCAAAGUGCCUCUCCAGAAAUCAACCUUCUCCAGAAAUCAACCUUCUCCAGAAAUCAACCUUCUCCAGAAAUCAACCUUCUCCAGACCAAGAAAGGGACGGAAAAACAAUAGUAAAAAAGAAAUAUGUACUGUGCCAACUACAGUACAAUACUAUAGCAUUACUAUAGUACUAUACUAUAACAUUACUAUAGCGCUAUACUAUAGCACUACUACAGUACUAUACUAUAACAUUACUAUAGUCCUAUACUAUAACAUUACCAUGGUACUAUACUAUAACAUGACAUUACCAUAGUACUAUACUAUAACAUUACUAUAGCACUAUACUAUAACAUUACUAUAGUACUAUGCUAAAACAUCACUACAGUACUAUACUAUAACAUUACAUUACUAUAGUACUAUACUAUAACAUUACGCCACUAUAGUACUAUGCUAUAACAUUACUAUAGUACUAUACUAUAACAUUACUAUAGUACUAUACUAUAACAUUGCUAUAGUACUAUACUAUAACAUCACUAUAGUACUAUACUGUACCAUUACUAUGGUAAUAUACUAUAACAUUACAUUACUAUAGUACUAUACUAUAACAUUACUAUAGUACUAUACUAUAACAUUACAUUACUAUAGUACUAUACUAUAACAUUACUAUAGCACCAUACUAUAGCAUUACUGCAGUACUAUACUAUAGCAUUACUACAGCACUAUACUAUAACAUUACGUUACUAUAGUACUAUACUAUAGCAUUACUAUAGUACUAUACCAUACCAUUACUAUAGUACUAUACUAUAACAUUACUAUAGUACUAUACUAUAACAUUACAUUACUAUAGUACUAUACGAUAACAUUACUAUAGUACCAUACUAUAGCAUUACUGCAGUACUAUACUAUAGCAUUACUACAACACUAUACUAUAACAUUACGUUACUAUAGUACUAUACUAUAGCAUUACUAUAUUACUAUACCAUACCAUUACUAUGGUACUAUAC